UUCCUUUUUGGGCAAGAAAAGUAGUAGUAGAUAACCUCUUGGGGGAUAUCGAUAGCUAGAACUCUUAGCCAGCCUCACUUCACUAGAGGACCAUUGAGAUAGUAAGUUGGUAACGUGGAUCAUGUCUCAAUAUAAAAUUCAAGUUUUCAUUUAUUUCCUUUUACUUUUGGUCUGCCAAAAGAACAAGGAAUAUGCUUGCAAUGGCUUUAUAAUUGCCAAGAAUAACUUCCACAUCUUCACAUUUUUGAUGACCAAAUACAUAAAAGAGGGUAGAUUAGAAUUUUGCAGUCCCAUUUCCAACACAGGUCCUGUUAAUUUCUGUUUUUAAGAGGUA
rnacentral:lncRNA from 1 species